rnacentral:rRNA from 1 species
AUUGAACGCUGGCGGAAUGCUUUACACAUGCAAGUCGAACGGUAGAGGGGGCAACCCCUCGAGAGUGGCGAACAGGUGAGUAAUAUAUCGGAACGUGCCCAGUCGUGGGGGAUAACGUAGCGAACGUUACGCUAAUACCGCAUACGAUCUAAAGGUGAAAGCGGGGGACCGUAAGGCCUCGCGCGCUUGGAGCGGCCGAUAUCAGAUUAGGUAGUUGGUGAGGUAAAGGCUCACCAAGCCAACGAUCUGUAGCUGGUCUGAGAGGACGACCAGCCACACUGGAACUGAGACACGGUCCAGACUCCUACGGGAGGCAGCAGUGGGGAAUUUUGGACAAUGGACGCAAGUCUGAUCCAGCCAUUCCGCGUGCAGGAUGAAGGCCCUCGGGUUGUAAACUGCUUUUGUACGGAACGAAAAGGUCUCUCCUAAUACGAGGGGCUCAUGACGGUACCGUAAGAAUAAGCACCGGCUAACUACGUGCCAGCCGCCGCAGUAA